rnacentral:rRNA from 1 species
UACAGAGGUGGCGAGCGUUAUUCGGAAUUAUUGGGCGUAAAGGGCGCGUAGGCGGCUAGACAAGUCCUGGGUGAAAUCCCUCGGCUCAACCGAGGAACUGCCUUGGAAACUGUCUGGCUUGAGGCCGGGAGAGGGUAGUGGAAUUCCCAGUGUAGCGGUGAAAUGCGUAGAUACUGGGAGGAACACCGGUGGCGAAGGCGGCUACCUGGACCGGUUCUGACGCUGAGGCGCGAAAGCGUGGGUAGCAAACAGG